rnacentral:rRNA from 1 species
AUUGAACGCUGGCGGCAGGCCUAACACAUGCAAGUCGAACGAGUGGCGGACGGGUGAGUAAUGUCUGGGAAACUGCCCGAUGGAGGGGGAUAACUACUGGAAACGGUAGCUAAUACCGCAUACCAUCGGAUGUGCCCAGAUGGGAUUAGCUAGUAGGUGGGGUAAAGGCUCACCUAGGCGACGCUCCCUAGCUGGUCUGAGGGGAUGACCAGCCAAACUGGAACUGAGACACGGGCCAGACUCCUACGGGAGGCAGCAGUGGGGAAUAUUGCACAAUGGGCGCAAGCCUGAUGCAGCCAUGCCGCGUGUAUGAAGAAGGCCUUCGGGUUGUAAAGUACUUUCAGCGAGGAGGCGUUACUCGCAGAAGAAGCACCGGCUAACUCCGUGCCAGCAGCCGCGGUAAUUC